GACGAACGCUGGCGGCGUGCCUAACACAUGCAAGUCGUGCGAGAAAGCUCCUUCGGGAGUGAGUACAGCGGCGGACGGGUAAGUAACACGUGAGCGAUCUACCCAAGGGUGGGGGACAACUCAGGGAAACCUGAGCUAAUACCGCGUAUAGCGCCGGCUUGGAAGCCUGGCGUGAAAGCUGGCCUCUACUUGUAAGCUAGCGCCUUUGGAUGAGCUCGCGGCCUAUCAGCUUGUUGGUGGGGUAAUGGCCUACCAAGGCAAUGACGGGUAGCUGGCGUGAGAGCGCGACCAGCCACACUGGGACUGAGACACGGCCCAG
rnacentral:rRNA from 1 species